UACGUAGGGGGGCAAGCGUUGUCCGGAAUCAUUGGGCGUAAAGAGCUCGUAGGCGGUUUGUCGCGUCUGCUGUGAAAUCCCGAGGCUCAACCUCGGGUCUGCAGUGGGUACGGGCAGACUAGAGUGCGGUAGGGGGAGAUUGGAACUCCUGGUGUAGCGGUGGAAUGCGCAGAUAUCAGGAAGAACACCGAUGGCGAAGGCAGAUCUC
rnacentral:rRNA from 1 species